rnacentral:rRNA from 1 species
UAAUUGAAGAGUUUGAUCAUGGCUCAGAUUGAACGCUGGCGGCAGGCCUAACACAUGCAAGUCGAGCGGCAGCACAGAGGAACUUGUUCCUUGGGUGGCGAGCGGCGGACGGGUGAGUAAUGCCUGGGAAAUUGCCCGGUAGAGGGGGAUAACCAUUGGAAACGAUGGCUAAUACCG